rnacentral:rRNA from 1 species
CGUCAAAUCAUCAUGCCCCUUACGUCUUGGGCUACACACGUGCUACAAUGGGCGCUACAAACUGUUACUAAGUAGUGAUAUGGAGUUAAUCAGAAAAAAGCGUUCUCAGUUCGGAUUGUGGGCUGCAACUCGCCCACAUGAAGUCGGAGUUGCUAGUAAUCCCGGAUCAGCACGCCGGGGUGAAUGCGUUCCCGGGUCUU